rnacentral:lncRNA from 1 species
UCAUAUCCAUAUAGAGCUCUAUCCCCCAGGGGGUGGACUCUAUUAUUAAAGUAGAAACGAUAUGUGGAAUCACUUAUGUGUAAUGGCAGAGUUUUCCCUUGGCAAAGGAAAAGAUGCCUUGGGCACACCAGGGUUUUUACACUCCCCAUUGGCUUAGGACCACUUCGUAAGAACGAUGAGGCAUAGAUCGUUCUAGGAAACAUCGAGUCAGUUCCCCAAAGAUUGUGAAGGCC